rnacentral:rRNA from 1 species
CGCGGCCUAUCAGCUUGUUGGUGGGGUGAUGGCCUACCAAGGCGACGACGGGUAGCCGGCCUGAGAGGGUGUCCGGCCACACUGGGACUGAGAUACGGCCCAGACUCCUACGGGAGGCAGCAGUGGGGAAUAUUGCACAAUGGGCGCAAGCCUGAUGCAGCGACGCCGCGUGAGGGAUGACGGCCUUCGGGUUGUAAACCUCUUUCAAUAGGGACGAAGCGCAAGUGACGGUACCUGUAGAAGAAGCACCGGCCAACUACGUGCCAGCAGCCGCGGUAAUACGUAGGGUGCGAGCGUUGUCCGGAAUUACUGGGCGUAAAGAGCUCGUAGGUGGUUUGUCGCGUUGUUCGUGAAAACCUGAGGCUUAACCUUGGGCGUGCGGGCGAUACGGGCAGACUGGAGUACUGCAGGGGAGACUGGAAUUCCUGGUGUAGCGGUGGAAUGCGCAGAUAUCAGGAGGAGCACCGGUGGCGAAGGCGGGUCUCUGGGCAGUAACUGACGCUGAGGAGCGAAAGCGUGGGGAGCGAACAGGAUUAGAUACCCUGGUAGUCCACGCCGUAAACGGUGGGUACUAGGUGUGGGUUUCCUUCCUUGGGAUCCGUGCCGUAGCUAACGCAUUAAGUACCCCGCCUGGGGAGUACGG